GAUGAACGCUAGCGGCAGGCUUAAUACAUGCAAGUUGAGGGGCAGCAUGAUAUACGCGAGUAUAUUGAUGGCGACCGGCGGACGGGUGAGUAAUAGGUAGGAGACCUACCUCAUACAGGGGGAUAGCAUAGAGAAAUCUGUGGUAAUACCCCAUGAGGUUAUAUGAAUAGAGGCAUAUAAUCAAAGCAUAAGCGAUUAUGCGGUAUGAGAGGGGCCUACUGACCAUUAGCUAGUUGGUGAGGUAAGGGCUCACCAAGGCGAAGAUGGUUAGGGGUUUUGAGAGAGAGACCCCCCACAUUGGAACUGAGAGACGGUCCAGACUCCUACGGGAGGCAGCAGUAGGGAAUAUUGGGCAAUGGGCGAAAGCCUGACCCAGCCAUGCCGCGUGAAGGAGACGGCUUAGGGCUGUAAACUUCUUUACUACGCAAUAGAGGUUAGUACGAGAUACUAAUAGGAAGGUAGUAGUAGUAAAAAGCAACCGGCUAACUCCG
rnacentral:rRNA from 1 species